rnacentral:rRNA from 1 species
GACGAACGCUGGCGGCGUGCUUAACACAUGCAAGUCGAACGAUGAACCCGGAGCUUGCUCCGGCGGAUUAGUGGCGAACGGGUGAGUAACACGUGAGUAACCUGCCCUUGACUCUGGGAUAACUGCGGGAAACUGUAGCUAAUACCGGAUACGACCCUCGGCGGCAUCGCCAGGGGGUGGAAAGAAUUUCGGUCAAGGAUGGACUCGCGGCCUAUCAGCUAGUUGGUGAGGUAACGGCUCACCAAGGCGACGACGGGUAGCCGGCCUGAGAGGGUGGCCGGCCACACUGGGACUGAGACACGGCCCAGACUCCAACGGGAGGCAGCAGUGGGGAAUAUUGCACAAUGGGCGCAAGCCUGAUGCAGCAACGCCGCGUGAGGGAUGACGGCCUUCGGGUUGUAAACCUCUUUUAGUAGGGAAGAAGCGAAAGUGACGGUACCUGCAGAAAAAGCACCGGCUAACUACGUGCCAGCCGCCGCCGUAA